rnacentral:rRNA from 1 species
ACAGACCGCCAGCUAAGGUCCCAAAUUACUACUAAGUGGGAAACGAUGUGGGAAGGCUCAGACAGCCAGGAUGUUGGCUUAGAAGCAGCCAUCAUUUAAAGAAAGCGUAAUAGCUCACUGGUCGAGUCGGCCUGCGCGGAAGAUGUAACGGGGCUAAGUAGUAAACCGAAGCUGCGGCAAUGUGCUUUUGCACAUUGGGUAGGGGAGCGUUCUGUAAGCGGUUGAAGGUGUGUGGUAACGCAUGCUGGACGUAUCAGAAGUGCGAAUGCUGACAUGAGUAACGAUAAAGGGGGUGAAAAACCUCCUCGCCGGAAGACCAAGGGUUCCUGUCCAACGUUAAUCGGGGCAGGGUAAGUCGACCCCUAAGGCGAGGCCGAAAGGCGUAGUCGAUGGGAAACGGGUUAAUAUUCCCGUACUUCUUACAAUUGCGAUGGGGGGACGGAGAAGGCUAGGUGGGCCUGGCGACGGUUGUCCAGGUUCAAGUGCGUAGGCUUAAGAGUUAGGUAAAUCCGGCUCUUUUUAAGGCUGAGACACGACGUCGAGCACCUACGGGUGUGAAGUCAUUGAUGCCAUGCUUCCAGGAAAAGCCUCUAAGCUUCAGAUUGUAAGGAAUCGUACCCCAAACCGACACAGGUGGUCGGGUAGAGAAUACCAAGGCGCUUGAGAGAACUCGGGUGAAGGAACUAGGCAAAAUGGUACCGUAACUUCGGGAGAAGGUACGCUCUUGAUGGUGAAGUCCCUCGCGGAUGGAGCUGACGAGAGUCGCAGAUACCAGGUGGCUGCAACUGUUUAUUAAAAACACAGCACUGUGCAAAAUCGUAAGAUGACGUAUACGGUGUGACGCCUGCCCGGUGCCGGAAGGUUAAUUGAUGGGGUUAGACUUCGGUCGAAGCUCUUGAUCGAAGCCCCGGUAAACGGCGGCCGUAACUAUAACGGUCCUAAGGUAGCGAAAUUCCUUGUCGGGUAAGUUCCGACCUGCACGAAUGGCGUAAUGAUGGCCACGCUGUCUCCACCCGAGACUCAGUGAAAUUGAAAUCGCUGUGAAGAUGCAGUGUACCCGCGGCUAGACGGAAAGACCCCGUGAACCUUUACUACAGCUUGGCACUGAACAUUGACCCUACAUGUGUAGGAUAGGUGGGAGGCUUUGAAGCACGUACGCCAGUAUGUGUGGAGCCGUCCUUGAAAUACCACCCUUGUAGUGUUGAUGUUCUAACGUCGACCCCUUAUCGGGGUUGCGGACAGUGCCUGGUGGGUAGUUUGACUGGGGCGGUCUCCUCCCAAAGAGUAACGGAGGAGCACGAAGGUGGGCUAAUCACGGUUGGACAUCGUGAGGUUAGUGCAAUGGCAUAAGCCCGCUUGACUGCGAGAAUGACAAUUCGAGCAGGUGCGAAAGCAGGUCAUAGUGAUCCGGUGGUUCUGAAUGGAAGGGCCAUCGCUCAACGGAUAAAAGGUACUCCGGGGAUAACAGGCUGAUACCGCCCAAGAGUUCAUAUCGACGGCGGUGUUUGGCACCUCGAUGUCGGCUCAUCACAUCCUGGGGCUGAAGUCGGUCCCAAGGGUAUGGCUGUUCGCCAUUUAAAGUGGUACGCGAGCUGGGUUUAGAACGUCGUGAGACAGUUCGGUCCCUAUCUGCCGUGGGCGUUGGAAGAUUGAAGGGGGCUGCUCCUAGUACGAGAGGACCGGAGUGGACGAACCUCUGGUGUUCGGGUUGUGUCGCCAGACGCAUUGCCCGGUAGCUAAGUUCGGAAUCGAUAACCGCUGAAAGCAUCUAAGCGGGAAGCGAGCCCUGAGAUGAGUCUUCCCUGAUACUUUAAGUAUCCUAAAGGGUUGUCGGAGACUACGACGUUGAUAGGUCAGGUGUGUAAGUGCUGUGAGGCAUUGAGCUAACUGAUACUAAUUGCCCGUGAGGCUUAACCAUACAACACCCAAGGGGUUU